GCAGUGUUAGGAAGCUUGAUGCAAACUCCAAGGUGCUGCCACACACUGUCAAGAGAACAGGGGAUGCCAGGAGUAUGUGUGUAGGGGUAGUUUGCUUCCUUCCUUUUUGUUUUUGUUUUUGUUUUUUUUUUGAUACAAGUUUUCAUUGUAGACCAGGCUGACCUUGAACUCACAAUCUCCCAAGUGCUGGAUUUGAUUUUUUAAAAAACCCUCUCCUUCGCUGUGUUUUCCAUUCAGUUUUUCUUAACCCAAGGAGCUAUAAUAUAAGCUCAGUGUGUAGCUGUCAUGGUACUUUGUUCUCUGCUGAUAUGUGCAAAUAGUGCACAGAUUGCAGUAGAUUGUGUGUUUGUUUCUUGGUGAUAAUGUUUGAGCCCAGGACUUGGCUAUCUUAGGUUAAGUGUGCUACUGCCGCCCAGCUAUAUUUCCAGCUUUGAAGUACUUUUCUUUGAAUUAAUAAGCUUCCAGGAAAAUGAUUUUAAUGUGUAGAAACCAGGAGCCUUAAGGAAGUUGUCAAUAGCCGCUUUAUUGAUACAUAGUUUGUUCAAUUAAAGAGUUAAUUCAGGGCUUAUCAGCUGCCUACCCAGUUGCCUAGCCAUACCACAGUGGGAGCAUUCUCAUCACUUGUAGCUCUCACUUAUGCUCUAGCCCUGGAUAGUCACCAGACUACUCUAGUCUGUGGGUAGCCUGUUCAGUUCUUUAAAUUGGAUACAGUCUCUGGUUCUCUGAGACUACUUUUUAAAGCUUAGUACAGCCUGAGAAGGGCUCAGCCAGAGUCUGGGGAUGAAGUUUAACAGUGGUGCUGCUUUCUGAGUAGUGUGGGUUUCGACCCAUUUCUUUGUAGGGGAGUUGUUGGUGGUGUCAGGAUCACCAAUUCUUUUUAAAGAUAUAUUUAUUUUAAAGUUAUAUUUGCCUGUGUAUAUGUAUGAAAACUUUAUGGGUGUCUGGUGUCCAUGGAGGCCAGGAGAGGAUAGUGGGUCCCCUGGAACUGGAAUUACAGGUGGUUGUGAGCUGCCAUGUAGGUGCUAGGAAUUGGACUAGACUCCUGGAAGAACAGCCAGUGAUUUUAACUGCUGAACCAUCUCUUCAGCCCCUGCCGAUAAUUACAAAAUGUUCUUUAAUCCAUUAAAGAACUUAUUAAUUCAAAUUUGUGUUUUCUCACUGUUGUAAAUGUUAGGGAGACAUUAUUUAGAGUCAGAAAUCUUGGGUAAUGCAAACAAUGAAUUUGCUUAUGUAUUUCCUCUGAAGAAACUUGGUUUCAUGAAGGAAAGAGGAAGGUACAAAAUAAUUUUGAACAGCAACUUCAGUGGGUCUGUGCCGAGUUCGGUAGGUCUGUGUGUAUUUGGUUAUCCAAAAGUGCCCCAAGAGUAAUUGGCAGACACAUUUCCUUCACUUGUUAGUUUAUUCCCUAGAAAAUAGGCUUUUUAGUUGGACAUGGUGGAGCCCAUCUUUAAUCCCAACAGGAGGCAGAGACAGGCAGAUCUCUUGAGUCCCAGGCAAGCUUGGUCUCCAUAGUGAGUUACAGGACAGUUAGAGCUAUAUAGUGAGAGACCCUGUUUCAAAAAGAGAGAGCGAGCUAGAGAGUUUAAACUCUGUCUGUACCUGGAUUAAGGACAAGGAGGAGCUAUCACGAAAUUUGUUACAUAUGUAGGUGGUAGAGAUUAUCGAUGAUUUGGCUUCUUGCCAUUUAUUAUUUCCAAAUAUCUAAGACAAUGUGUGUGUUGUGUGAAUGUGGACUUGUCAUGCAAUGGUGUGUGUGUGUGUGUGUGUGUGUGUGUGUGUGUGUGUAAAAGCCAGAGGAUUCUUGGCUGUUAGUUCUCUUUUCCAUUUAUGAAUCUGUUGUUUGUACUGUUAUGUCAGGCUAGCUGGUCUGCAACCUUGUUAGUCUUCCAUCUUGUCCUAAGAAGAUUGGGAUUAGAACCCUGCACCAGCUUUACCUGUGUUCUUGGGAUCAAACACAGGUCCUCAUCUCAUACCUGCUAGGCUAAUGCCUUUACCUACACCCCCCCUUCCCUCCUACCCUCCUUGUUUUACAAUAUUAUUCUCUGUGUAGCUCUGGCUGUCCUGGAAUUCACUCUGUAGACCAGGUUGCUCUCAAAACUCAGAGGUUUCCCUCUACCUCCCUAGUGCAGGUGUUAAAGGUGUGCACCCCACCUCCGGGACGGCAGGUUUAUUAUUAUUAUUAUGUUUUUCUUUUUUCCUUUUUUUCCCAGACAGGGUUUCUGUGAAAUCCUGGCUGUCCUGGGACUUGCUCUGUAGACCAGGUUGGCCUGGAACUCACAGAGAUCUGCCAGCUUCUGAUCCUGAGUGCAGGGAUUAAUUAAAGGCUGCUGCCACCCCUCCCUCCCCCAUCUCGGCUGGCUGUUUUAUUCUUACAUGGUGAAACCUCCAAUAACUUUAUAUGGGUUAUUUGUUGAGUGAUUGAUUCAUGGUGGUGGUAUGGGUAGAACCUGGCAGCCUCAUAAUUCAGGCCAGUGCUAUCAUUGAACAUAGCCCAGCCCUCUAUGUAAAUUUUUAUGAAUGAGAAAACAGGGUGGAGAAAUGUGACUCUCAGGUAAAAUCUCACAGUUGACAUACUUUCAUAGGACCCACUAAUUUAUUGCAGGGCAGCUGCUUUCCUAAACACAAGCCUAUGUUAAAUGACACAUGAUUUUAAGAAGUUGAGCUGAACAUCUCUCUAUCCCUUCCUAGUGUCACACAAUUUUUUUACUUUUGUUUUUUAAACACAGCAUCUGUAAGCCUGUCUGGCCUAGAACUGAUAUGCAGACCUGUUUAGCUUGUGCUUUCCUGGGUGUUGGGAUCACUAGCUUGUACUGGCAUUCUUGUCUGAUGUUGUUUUUCUUUUCCCCCCUCUGCCCUGGCUGUCCUGGAACUCACUUUGUAGACCAGGCUGGCCUCGAACUCAGAAAUCUGCCUUGCCUCUGCUUCCCAAGUGCUGGGAUCAAAGGCGUGCACCACCACCAUCCAGCUUCUUUUCCCUUUUUAAAGAUUUAUUAUGUGUGUAAUAAUGUUUGCCUGCAUAUGUGUAUGCUUACCUAUUGAGUCCAGAAGUCUUGGAUUCUAUGGAACUUGAACUGCAGGUGGUGUGAGUAGCUGUGUGAGUGCUAGGAACAGAACCUGGGCCCUCUGCAAGAGCAUUAAGUGCUCUUAAUUGCUGAGCCACUUCUACAGUUUUAUUUGUGUGUUUUGUGUGUGUGUGUGUGUGUGUGUGUGUGUGUGUGUGUGUGGUGCCUGAAGGUGCCUGAGGAGGCCAGAAGAGGCCAUCAGAUCACCUGACGCUGGAGUCAUAGGUGACUCACUCACCUUAUGUGGGUGCCGGCAACCAAAGCAGGUCCUAUAAAAGAGCUAGCUGAAAGUAUUAUAGUCUGCCCAGCCAACUUCAGCCUCUGGCU
rnacentral:lncRNA from 1 species